CGGACACCUUCUGGAAUCUCUACAGCUUCCCCUGGGGGAGGGGGAGGUGAUGUCCCUCGGCCAGGGCAGGGUCACCACUCCUUCCUUUCCUGAGAGAGGACUUGGUCACAGUGUCCCCUUGCCCUUGGCCUGGAGUCUAAGCUUCUCCCACUCAGGCCCCAAGCACCUGGAAUGGAGUUUGGCAACCCAGGAGCCUGGCCAAAGCUGCUGAGGCUUUGAAGGGGUCAGGCUCCAUCCAGAACUGGAGAUCAGUCUACUACAUGCGCUUUUGUGGAAAAGAAUCAGGAGGGAUUUUUCCUUGGCAGAGUGGUUCAGCUGACAGUAAGGAGCCACAAAUUCAAAGAGUGGCUGCCGGCUGCGCUCUACCUGACACGGGAGAGUGGCUGCCGGCUGCGCUCUGGCCCAGGCACCUGACACGGGCAUCACCCUCGCUGCUACACUGUUCUCUCUGAUGGAUGAAGGAAGGCUCAGGGCACAGGGGGGUCAGACGCAAGGCCAAGCUGACGGGAAGUGCAGAAGCAGGAGGCAGCCCCGGGAGUCGGCGUGAGCAUCUCGUUCAUCUCCUGGCGUCGUGUCUGUGUCAUCUGCUCAUUGGAUGGCGAGGUGUGGACGGGGGCGGAAAGCCCCCCAAGCUGAAUUCUGACGAGUCCCCAGUUCUGAAUGCGCAACACCUCCCCCAUUCGCUAUGACCACAAAGGCCCAUGUAGCACUUUCUCUGCCAUGGCCAAGUCUUGGGGCUCUUAUCCGAUAAGCCAGGAUAAGGCACCGGGGGUAGAAGGUGCAGAGGUGGCAGAGGUUGUUAGUGAGGGUGGGGAGGAAGGCUAGAGGAGUCCUCUGACCCUUCCUGCCCACAUGCUGGGAGGGUAGGUGCCUGCUGUGGGCAGAACCCCGGCCACUAUCCUUCAGAAUAAGAUGGCCUGUUCUGCCUUCCCCCUCGAGGGAGUAGCUGCUCAGUUUGUCACAUGGUCCCUUCUAGGAAGUACCCACAGGCAGCACCUCACAAACUGUCUCUGUGCAGCAAACUGCAGAGAUUGAGGCAGGUAGUGACUCCUGCAAAGCAUUCUGGGUCAUGGUGAAUCUCUGUGCUUAAACCCUGCACAGUACAGCCGAGGUCAGUGCUGGGAGGAAGACCAUCUGUGUGAGCUGUCUUUCCCCUCCCCCAGCCCCACCCUCACCGGGUGUUCAUUGUUAUCCUCCAAGGAGAUGCUUCCCAUAAUAGUUGUGGCAGGUGAGUGCACGAGGCCUAAAGCAUUGGGUGGGCCGCCCAGAACUCCUUCUCCAACACCCUUGAGGGUUCCGUUCCCCAAGGGUGCGAAUUCUCCAAGCCUCCCCUUGCUUCUCUUUCUGUUGCCUGAGCUAGCUUUUUAGAGAUGGAGUGGGACUCACAUCCCGGCUCUGCCGCUUACUAGCUGUGGCUCCAGGGGCAAGUUACUUUUACUUCUCUUGGUCUCAAUAUCCUCACCUGAGCAUGAGAAUAGUCAUAUCUGCCCUUCAGAGUUGCUGUGAGAAUUGCUGAUCAUGUAUAUAAAAUGCCUGGCACAGAGUAUGCACUUAACUAAUAAUGUUUAUUAUUACAGACUGCUAGCAUUUACUGAGCACUAAACCACAUGCUAAGAUUUUAUAUGCCUAAUCUCACGAUCGACAAAUGAUAAUUAUUAAUAAGAUCAUUAUUGUGGAUCUGUAUUCAAACGAAGAGAUAGGAAAAAAGGACUCAAAGACCAUUUGCUAUAUGGUAGGUUAAAAAUGGCCACAAACCCUUGGCAGCAUUUCCUACUCAAAGGUAGAGUCUACUUCCCCACCCCGGGAAGGGCGGCCCUGAGACUCGCUUUGACCAAAAGAAUGCAGCAGGAGUGACACUGGGGAGUUCUGGGCCCAGGCCUUAAGAGGCACGCCAGCAUCCAUGCUGGCCCUUUAGGACCAUAGCUCUCAUGUGAAGACGCCUGAGCGAGCCUGCUGGAGUCGGAUGGCCCGGCCAACAGCUGGCACCAAACGCCAGACACGUCGGUGAGGCCAUCUCAGGCCAGCCAGCUCUAGUCACGCUGCCAGAUCACUGCAGCUAUGUGACUGACCCUCGGAGAGACCAGCAGAAGACAUCGCUCAGCAGAAUGCCGCCCAAAUUGCUGACCUCCAGAAUCGUGAGCAAAUCAAAUGGUGACUGCUCGAAGCCACUGAAUCGUGAAGUGGUUUGUUAUGCAACAGUAGGUAAUGGCAUAGCCAUGGGAUAUAUGAAUAUGAGGCCUCAUCCUUUGGGUACCCCCUCCUCCCUUCCUUCUAUGAGGUACUGCUGAGGGGCCCCCAGAGCUUGGGGGGUGAGGUUCAAAGCCAGUGAUGUGCCCAGCUCCUCACUCCAUCCAAAGAAAGACCCAGGUACAAAAAGACCUUCUGCGGUCCCAUCGCUUGUUAGCGGCUGAGCCGGGACAAGCGUGCAAAGCCAAGGACCUUCAGGCCAGGGUUGUGACCAUUGCAGUACCUGUCUUCCAACCCAAUCGAACCACAAGUGUCAACUAAGCACGUGCCAUAUGCCAGCCACCAGGUGGAGGUUUUAGAUCCCUCGCAGCAACUCCUCCCUGGGAUUUGGACUAGUUUAUCCUCUGUGCAGGGGAGAAAACAGUGGGGGAGGGGAAGAUCCAGAAUGCUGGGCCCUGGGGCCUUUCCUUUUAAGACGUUAGCCUGCAGGCUCUGGAGCCCGACUUUGAGUUCAGUCCUUAGCUGCCUAGCUGUGGGGCCUCUCUGGGACUGCUGCUUCCUCUGCAAAAUGGGAUCAUAAUAGCUCCCGCCUGUGAUAGUCACUAAGAGUUAGCUCCCCAAGAACCAGUCCCCUCUUUCCUUACUAACUGACCCCAGUUCGGACCUGGGAACAUUGUUCCCUGCCUCAGGAGAUGAAUCAUGUUUGAUCAAAGCCGAUCACAGUUAUUCUGCCCCCCGCGCCAUUCGCCCCCUUUCCCAGCCUGCCUCACUGUUAGGGGUGGCCAAGAAGCCAUCUAGAAAAACAUUUGUUCCCUGACAAAAAGGCUGAGCCUAGGAGAAGAAAGCCUUUUGUCUCUGACCUCUUGCCUUUGAAUGGAUGAGAUGGCUGGAGCAGCAGCUGCCAUUUUGUUACCAUGAGGUGACAAACCUAAGGACAAAAAGCCAACACCUUGAAGAUGGGGCAAAAGACCUGGGUCCUGAAAACAUCACUGAGCUGCCAAAUUAGCUCUGGGCCCCAACCUCCAGAUUCCUCACUGGGUAAACAAUAGUAGCCUAUCGUUUAGGCUGCUAGGGAAGUUACCAUAGGUUGGGUUUGUUGUUACUUGAAGGAAAAAGCAUUCCCAGAUGACCCACUGCCUCAAAGGAUUAUUGGAAGAACUGCACAGAUGACUUCAGUAGAGUGCCUACUAUAUAAUAAGCACUCAGUACAGGGCGCCUCCCUUCCCCGGUGCCCCACUACCUGCCUCACUCAGAGCCCUGGGGACAAGUGGUGAAGAGCACCCUACUGUAGAGGUAGCAUUCCUAUCCUCAGUUGUUUGUGAUGGCUUCGUGAGUCAGAAAGGCAACACGGUGGGGCAGCAGGAGCCCCGGACAAGGAGAAACACCGUCAUCGGCGGCUUGGGACCUCAGCCCUGAGUGAACAGAUUAGCUCAAGACGAGCAGCGGGGGAGCAUGAGGUGACACGUCCAGGCAUCGGGGCCUUCUUCGUCCACCUCCAGGACACUCGCCUAUGGGCAACCCAGGAUUAUUACAAAUGGAGAAGUUCACGGUCAUGCCCACGGCGAGGCCCCCUAUCCGCCACUUCCCCGAUUAGCCAGGCCAUCAACAGACCUUGCUGUGCCCUGCGUCCUCACUCGACCUCUCUCCCCUAUGGGAAAAGCGUCGUCCGAGUCGGCCCGCUCUUUCUGCUCUCUCUUUUCCCUCCCGCUCUCGUCAGUUCUCCCAAUGCACUGGAUGAGGAGCCCUCAGAAAACAGAAGAACCCUUUCCCCACGAUUGUACAAACUGACGGGGGGCAUGCCCACUCCAAGAGUCCAACCCCCGCCACCUCCAAAAAAAAUCGACAGUGGGUUAGCAGUCAAAGCACUGUCUGUGAGGGAGACAGUUCGUGUCCCUCCUAUUUCUGACCCUGGUUUGCUGUGUCCUUUGGUAAGUCACUUCCCCUCUCUGAGAUGACUUUUCCAAUCUAUUGGGGUGGGGCAGGGGCUGAAAGUUCCAGGGCUCCUUCCUUCUAGAAGACACUCCCUCAGCAUCACUGCCCUGGGGUCUUUCCCAGAUCCCAAGAGGCUUGCACAAAGCUUAGUUUCAUGGAUAAGUAAUUGCAAUCCAGGAGGCUGGGACAGUCGGUCAUGGAGCCUCUCUGUCUACCUUCAGCCGGGGCUGGGUUUGGAAAGACCAGCUGAUUUCACUAACGGCUGGGACUGAAUAUGCUCAGGGAGAGAAGUAUGCAGCCUCUGCCCUCCCUUCCUCCUCUCCAAAUAAAUACAUAAAAUCCCCAAACUAAACACUAGAAAUGGGUAGUUUUUUUUUUUUUUUUCCCCUACUGGAUAGUUUUGUUUUUACACUCCAUUUUUGGCCGGGACAAUCCCGAGCUGUCUGCAUUUUCCACUUUUGUUAUUUUAGGACUAUUUUCCAGUUGCUUGGGGGAAAUUUUCCAAUCAUGCCCAUUAGGGCAGGAACAGAAGCGGCCAGUUCUUCCCAGAGACCACUAGUGUAGAGGCUGCCAUGACAGAGGAAGUCGGUGGCCCAGUGGCUGCAGCGCACUCUGGACACACGUGGCCCGCUGUCCCAUCACCUACGAUAUAGUUGUGCCAUGGCAUAGAGAAUUUCUCUAUCCUGGCUCUACACCAGAACCACCUAGGCAGCUUUAAAACAUACUGAAGCCUGAGCCCCACUCCAAACCAAGGAAAUCAGCAUUUCUAGAGAUGAGCCAAGACUUGGAGCUGUGCAAAGCCCUCGAAGGCAGGCAGUCGGUGGGUUCGAAGCCCGUGUCGCCACUGAGUAUUACUCAGGGCGGGCUCCUCACCGUCGGAGUUGAACUUUCUUACUCUCACAUGGAGAGCCUGCACCGUCCUGCACACAGCAGACCUGCAAGAACUGUAGACUGCACCUCUCCCCCGGCCCUGCCCCCCAAAGGGGCAAAAGAGGGGCUUCAUGAUGCUUUCGCCAAACUAAUAUGGGAUAGGAUUGGUAUUCCUUAGGCUCAUACCUGGGGAAGGUGCCUCGAACCACCUCCAUAGCUGGUCCAUAUCAUAUCUCAGGAUCCUGCCACUCUUGAGCUAAUCCCCGACUACAAAAAGCAAUCUUAUACGAAGUUUUUUUCAUUAAAAACCACCUUUUGGCCUAGAAGCAAUGACACUCCAGUAAGCAAUGAACACACAUAGUUCCCGGAUCAUGGUUUCUAAUAUUAUUCUCCAAUAAAAGGAACAAAGCGUCUUGGAGAAAUGGCUGAUUCUAGGAUGGGGGCAGGAAAUAUACAAGACAAGGUGGAGUGUCUUCUAGUGUAAGAAAAAUCAAACAAUCAAACAAAACACACACACAGUGAUGGGGGUAUGUCAAAGGGACAUGGGAGCCAACUCAAAGAGCUCCCGGUAGCCAAAGUUGGAACAAUCUACGCAACUAAAUAAUUAUAGUAGUAUUGGAUUAUAACCCAAAGCAUAAAAUAAAUAUCUAUGAGUCCUUAUUGAUAUAAGUAAAUGACUGAAUAAGUCAAUAAAUGAGGGAAGAGGCAGAUUUCUUGUGCAGAAGAAUUCCAAAUAAUUUACGUGCAUACUCAGUCAAAGAGGUGGAGUAUGACUCCCCACUCUCGAGCUGCGGGCUGUGCAUAGUGACUUCCUACCAAAGAGAACAAUGUGGAAAGGGGAGGAAAGGAGUAACUUUCUUCGUGGAGGAACCUGACAAACACAGCCUCGGCCCGGUGACCAAGGUCAACAUCAAUGGCGGGAAGUCUGUUGACAGUAUGUACCUGUGGUACGAUGUAAUGAGAAAGGCACUUCGCCUCCGUGGUCUUCCCCCCGAAACCGAUAACCCCGGUCUAACCAUCCGAACAAUCCCGGCUGAGGGACAUUCUAUAAAAUACCUGACCAGUCCUUGAAACUGUCAAGGUGGUCAGAAACAAAGAUCGUCUGAAAAACUGUCACAGCCAAGAGGGGUCUAAAGAGACAAGAUGACUAAAUGUAAUAUGGCGCCCUGGAUGAGAUCCUGGGACAGAAAAAGGACAAACCAAGGGAAGCUGAGUAAAGUAUGGGCUUUAGAUGAUACUCAUGUAUCGAUGUAGGUUCAUUAACUCAGACAAGUGAGCUCUACAAAUGUUGGACAUUAACAAUGGAGAAACUGGCUGAAGGGACUCUCUGUACCAUCUUUGCAACUUUUCUGUAAGUCUAAAACUUCUAAAAUAAAAUAAACAAAAACACUG